rnacentral:rRNA from 1 species
UACGGAGGGUGCAAGCGUUGCUCGGAAUUAUUGGGCGUAAAGGGUAGGUAGGUGGUCUCAUUUGUCUGGGGUGAAAGCCUUGAGCUUAACUCAAGAAGUGCCCCAGAAACGGUGAGACUAGAGUUCUGGAGAGGGUCGUGGAAUUCCCGGUGUAGCGGUGAAAUGCGUAGAGAUCGGGAGGAACACCAGAGGCGAAGGCGGCGACCUGGACAGAUACUGACACUCAACUACGAAAGCGUGGGUAGCAAACAGG